AGUAAGUUAUAUUUUAAUUAUUAAAGUUUUUUUUUUUUUUUAACUGCAAAAGUGCUACAAGCAAAAAAUAAAAUAGAUCACAAAACAUCACCUGUAGGUCCCAUUCAUCAGGAAGCUGCAGUAGUGUAAGCCUGCUGCCACAGGAUGGCAGUGGUGAGCUGCAAUCGCAGCCCAUGCGCCCUCUCAGACCUUUGAGUGGCUCAGCAUCUCCAGCAUUUUGUUCUCUAAUUUUUCUGUGGAUAUGUCUUUGUACUAAUUAAUUUUACUAUGGGCCUCUUUCAAAGCUUGUUUUGUGACAUUUCACCGACUAAUUUCAGAUCAAAAGGGAUUAUUCUAGUGAAUAUUUGAGUGAUUGCUAUGUGCCAGACUAGAAUGUGCUAUGUGCUUUAAAACUUUUUUUUUUUAUCAUUUACUUCUCACAACAACCCAAAAAGAUACUACUGUAGCCCUAUUUUAAAAUGAGAAAAUUGAGAUUAAGGCACUUGGAGAAAUUAAUACAACUAAUAAGUGGCAAAUCUGGAAUUUGAAGCCAGGGUCGGCAGUUCGAAUCCGCCAGGUGCUCCUUGGAAACUCUAUGGGGCAGUUCUACUCUGUCCUAUAGAGUCGCUAGGAGUCGGAAUCAACUCGACGGCACUGGGUUUGGUUUUGGUUUUUGGUUUCUGUCAGAUUAUCGAGACAAUGUAUGCCUUAAUAAUUUGACAGAAAUCAUGGUUUCUCUGCUCUCACACUUCAUUGUAAGAAAGAUCUAAGGUUCAUGAGCUUGAGUGGGGAAGAUUACAUCGUUGUUAUUUAAAUUUAGUGAUUCCCUAAAUCAUUAAUUUGGCAACGAAUCGUAGUGGUUUAGCAGUACCUGUGACUUUGUCGUCAGUAAGAAAUGUGUGUACAAUCUUCAUAUUGCAUUAGAGUUGUUUUAGAUAUCUAAACUGUUUAUGUUCGUUAUUACUUCAAGAAUUGUAGCAGUCGUUGGGUCUGCUGCUGAGUGUAGACAAAGCUGGCCAGCUGUCAGGAAACGCUGCCCCUAGUGGUUGCUCAGCCACCCAAGGGUGAUGCUACAUUGUGGAUGAAUCAGCUAUGCUGCUUUACAGCGUUCUUGUUGGGGAUUGUUUGUUGAUCAGUAUGUGGAUGGAAGCACUCACCCAGAAUAUGGAGCAGUAAAGAUCAAGUGUUGAGUGAAGGAAUCACUGAAGCUGCUUCUUAACUGCUAUCCAGUUUCUACCACCUACAAAGUGUCUUGCAUUCCCUGCCAGAUGGAUAUUUUUGGACACACUUUCAUCCCAUCAUUCCUCUACUUAAGUGCAAGCUAAUCUCACAGAAAGAAAGAUGAAUCUGCAAGCACGUCUCCACACCAACGUGUACACCGUAAGUGGCCUGAAACCAGAACCGUGAGCAGUUAGCAAAGGCAAAAGCAGGUAACCUUAAGGGAAUGUUACAGUAUAUUUGAAAUAAAUAGCCUAUCCUGUGGGCAAGAGUGGGAGAGAUAAAUAUGUGAAUUCCAAGAUAAGCCCUGGAAUCAGGAAGGGAUUAGAGUGAUCCUAUUUUGGUAGCCUCCUCUGGACACAGGGAUAAAUGAAGGGACAUAUUCUGGGAAAAAAGCAUCUUCAAUUUAGGUGCCACAAUUUCCAUUUUAGGACCAAUGAAUAUGAUAGAAUAAUCAAAGAUAACCAAGCACAUAAGGAAAUUAAUCAUUAUUAGUAAAAAUCGUCAAAAACAACUAACUACAGAUUUGAACACUCGUGGACCCCAUGAGAGUCUAAUUUGACUUAUUGGAGUUAUUUGAUUCCAUCAAAACAUAAAAUAUCUAGAUAUGAAAUGCUUGAAGAAAUAAAGGACUU